GACGAACGCUGGCGGCGUGCCUAACACAUGCAAGUCGAACGGGACCGGGGGCAACUCCGGUUCAGUGGCGGACGGGUGCGUAACACGUGAGGAACAUGACCUUCGGCGGGGGAUAGCCGGCCCAACGGCCGGGUAAUACCGCGUACGACCAUUUGGGGACAUCCCUGGAUGGUGAAAGCAGCAAUGCGCCGAUGGAGUGCCUCGCGGCCUAUCAGCUAGUUGGUGGGGUAACGGCCUACCAAGGCGACGACGGGUAGCUGGUCUGAGAGGAUGGCCAGCCACAUUGGGACUGAGACACGGCCCAGACUCCUACGGGAGGCAGCAGUGGGGAAUAUUGCGCAAUGGACGAAAGUCUGACGCUGCGACGCCGCGUGUGGGAUGACGGUCUUCGGAUUGUAAACCACUGUCGGGAGGGACGAAUACGCCGCAAGGCGGGUGACGGUACCUCCAAAGGAAGCACCGGCUAACUCCGUGCCAGCAGCCGCGGUAAUACGGAGGGUGCGAGCGUUGUCCGGAA
rnacentral:rRNA from 1 species